CCCAUUCAAUCUACACUUAAUUUUGUCAUCUUUUUCCACAGAAAGCCAUGCACCACCCCUUGUCAUGAAACUCAGAUAUCUCUUAACAUAAAAAAAUGAGCUUCUCCUUCAGCUUCCAUGUUCCUAAAGCUCUGCCUCCUCUUCCAACUUCACCACAUGGAACUGUUUCUCUCUUUACUGCUUCCAAACACAAACCAUCUCAGAAAAACAUUACUCCUUCUCAAUCACUACAUCAUAUAAUAACAUGCAGCAAACAGAAGCCAAGUGAUUAUGUCAGUCUAAAGAAACCAAGUUUGGCACUGCAUUUAGGAGGACUCUUGGCCUUAGUGAGAUUCUUAUAUAUAGAAAUUCACUUCUUGUAUAUAAAAAUGAUAUAUAUACAGAACUUGAAAGUAGCUAUUUUGAACAGAUUGGGCAGCCAGCCAAAACU
rnacentral:lncRNA from 1 species